CAUUCCUAAGGUAUUUUUUGAUGUUAUUAUUAUUAUUAUUAUUAUUAUUAUUAUUAUUAUUAUUAUUAUUAUUAUUAUUAUUAUUAUUAUUGUUAUUCGUAUUAUUUAUUCAAGGCAUUGCCUGGAAUUGAAUUCGGAAAUUUGGGCAUGUGACGUAGUGGUU